rnacentral:rRNA from 1 species
UGGGGAAUCUUGCACAAUGGGGGCAACCCUGAUGCAGCGACGCCGCGUGAGCGAUGAAGCCCUUCGGGGCGUAAAGCUCUUUCGACCGGAACGAUAAUGACGGUACCGGGAGAAGAAGCUGCGGCUAACUACGUGCCAGCAGCCGCGGUAAUACGUAGGCAGCAAGCGUUGUUCGGAGUUACUGGGCGUAAAGAGUGCGUAGGCGGUUUUCUAAGUUCGGUGUGAAAUCUCCCGGCUUAACUGGGAGGGUGCGCCGAAGACUGGGAAGCUGGAGUGUGGGAAAGGCAGGCGGAAUUCCUGGUGUAGCGGUGAAAUGCGUAGAUAUCAGGAGGAACACCGGCGGUGUAGACGGCUUGCUAGACCAUAACUGACGCUGGGGCACGAAAGCGUGGGUAGCAAACA